GGGGCAUCCUGAAGUUUGGGGACAAAGCCACUUUAAGAGAUUUUCCCUAUUCCCUUCAAGUUCCUUCCCCUGUCCCUCCCUUGCAACGUUCCUGGGUCACCUCUUGGGGAAACAGAUCCACCAAAUGUCAUCUCUGCAGCCACAGAUCAGACAUAUUAGUUGCUACUGAGCCCAGAGAUACGCAGUUUAAAUCCAUUUCACUGACGAAACAGUCGAACCAUGUACAAAUGUGCAACUGCCUUCUGAUGCCGUCAAGCCAGGCUGUGCUGCUCAUCAGCCUGCCAAGACUGCAAGCGACUUCCGUCACCCAGGGGCUGCUCUGAGCCAGAGAUUACCCCUUCAGCUCAGAAUCUGCUGGAAGAAUAAAGUGACUACCACCUUUACAGAUUGAAUGUCUUUCUGUAUCUUCCCUUUUAAAAAUAAUGUAUUUUUUUAAGGAGGGUGGAAGCAUGCCUUAAUUGUCCCUCCAGUGGAUAGUUUGGAUUUUAACAAAAUUGGUUAGUAAUUAAAAUCAAAUAUUCUCAUUAAAAAUCGUUUCUAUUUUGCAGAAAUUAAAUUUUCUGGUUUGGAAAUCCUGCUUUUGC
rnacentral:lncRNA from 1 species